UUAGUACUCCCUCUGUCCCAAAUUUGUUGUCUUAGAUUUGUCUAGAUACGGAUGUAUCUAAUACUAAAAUGUGACUUGAUACAUCCGUAUCUAGACAAAUCUAAGACAAGAAUUUUGGGAAGGAGGGCGUAAUAU
rfam:Triticum aestivum genome assembly, contig: Triticum_aestivum_CS42_TGACv1_scaffold_222287_3B